GAUCCUGGCUCAGGAUGAACGCUAGCGACAGGCCUAACACAUGCAAGUCGAGGGGCAGCGGAGAGGUAGCAAUACCUUUGCCGGCGACCGGCGCACGGGUGAGUAACACGUAUGCAAUCCACCUGUAACAGGGGGAUAACCCGGAGAAAUCCGGACUAAUACCCCAUAAUAUGGGCGCUCCGCAUGGAGAGCCCAUUAAAGAGAGCAAUUUUGGUUACAGACGAGCAUGCGCUCCAUUAG
rnacentral:rRNA from 1 species